GAUGAAGAACGCAGCGAAAUGCGAUAAGUAAUGUGAAUUGCAGAAUUCAGUGAAUCAUCGAAUCUUUGAACGCACCUUGCGCUCCUUGGUAUUCCAAGGAGCAUGCCUGUUUGAGUAUCAUUAAAUUAUCAACUGUGCCAAUUUGGUUACAGAUUGGAUGUGGGAGAUUCUUUUUGCAGGCCUUUGACUUCUCUUUGAGAAAAAAAUAAAAGGUCGGCUCUCCUGAAAUGUAUUAGCAGUGCCUUUGUUGGUUCAUUAGGUGUGAUAAAUUGUCUACAUCUUCACAUGAUACCUUCAUUUGUAAGGUUAUAUUGCUUCUAAAUUGUCUUUGAUUGGACGCAAAACAUAUAUAAUGUUUGACAAACUUGAUCUCAAAUCAGGCAGGACUACCCGCUGAACUUAAGCAUAUCAAUAAGCGGAGGA
rnacentral:misc_RNA from 1 species